UGGGGAAUAUUGGGCAAUGGGGGGAACCCUGACCCAGCAACGCCGCGUGAAGGAAGAAGGUUUUCGGAUUGUAAACUUCUGUCCUUGGUGAAGAGGAAGAGACGGUAGCCAAGGAGGAAGCCCCGGCUAACUACGUGCCAGCAGCCGCGGUAAUACGUAGGUGGCAAGCGUUGUCCGGAAUUAUUGGGCGUAAAGAGCAUGUAGGCGGGAAUCUAAGUCUGUUGUGAAAAUGCGGGGCUCAACCCCGUAUUGCGAUGGAAACUGGGUUUCUUGAGUGCAGGAGAGGAAAGGGGAAUUCCCAGUGUAGCGGUGAAAUGCGUAGAUAUUGGGAGGAACACCAGUGGCGAAGGCGCCUUUCUGGACUGUGUCUGACGCUGAGAUGCGAAAGCCAGGGUAGCGAACGGG
rnacentral:rRNA from 1 species